UCGGGAGGCAGCAGUGGGGAAUAUUGCGCAAUGGGCGAAAGCCUGACGCAGCAACGCCGCGUGUGGGAUGAUGGCCUUCGGGUUGUAAACCGCUUUCGCCUGUGACGAAGCGUGAGUGACGGUAAUGGGUAAAGAAGCACCGGCUAACUACGUGCCAGCAGCCGCGGUGAUGCGUANGGUGCGAGCGUUGUCCGGAUUUAUUGGGCGUAAAAGGGCUCGUAGGUGGNUGAUCGCGUCGGAAGUGUAAUCUUGGGGGCUUAACCCUGAGCGUGCUUUCGAUACGGG
rnacentral:rRNA from 1 species